rnacentral:rRNA from 1 species
GACGAACGCUGGCGGCGUGCUUAACACAUGCAAGUCGAACGGAAAGGCCCUGCUUUUGUGGGGUGCUCGAGUGGCGAACGGGUGAGUAACACGUGAGUAACCUGCCCUUGACUUUGGGAUAACUUCAGGAAACUGGGGCUAAUACCGGAUAGGAGCUCCUGCUGCAUGGUGGGGGUUGGAAAGUUUCGGCGGUUGGGGAUGGACUCGCGGCUUAUCAGCUUGUUGGUGGGGUAGUGGCUUACCAAGGCUUUGACGGGUAGCCGGCCUGAGAGGGUGACCGGCCACAUUGGGACUGAGAUACGGCCCAGACUCCUACGGGAGGCAGCAGUGGGGAAUAUUGCACAAUGGGCGGAAGCCGGAUGCAGCAACGCCGCGUGCGGGAUGACGGCCUUCGGGUUGUAAACCGCUUUCGCCUGUGACGAAGAGUGAGUGACGGUAAUGAGUAAAGAAGCACCGGCUAACUACGUG